rnacentral:rRNA from 1 species
CGCGAAACCUUUACACUGCACGCAAGUGGAAUAAGGGGACCCCGAGUGCGAGGGCAUACAGUCCUCGCUUUUCACCACCGUAAGGAGGUAGUGGAAUAAGAGCUGGGCAAGACCGGUGCCAGCCGCCGCGGUAAUACCGGCAGCUCGAGUGAUGGCCGAUCUUAUUGGGCCUAAAGCGUCCGUAGCCGGCCACACAAGUCCAUCGGGAAAUCCGCCAGCCCAACUGGCGGGCGUCCGGUGGAAACUGUGUGGCUCGGGAUCGGAAGACCCAACGGGUACGUCUUGGGUAGGAGUGAAAUCCCGUAAUCCUGGACGGACCACCGAUAGCGAAAGCACGUUGGGAAGACGAAUCCGACGGUGAGGGACGAAAGCCAGGGUCUCGAACCGGAUUAGAUACCCGGGUAGUCCUGGCCGUAAACGAUGUCUGCUAGGUGUGGCUCCCACUACGAGUGGGUGCUGUGCCGUAGGAAGCCGCUAAGCAGACCGCCUGGGAAGUACGUCCGCAAGGAUGAAACUUAAAGGAAUUGGCGGGGAGCACUACAACCGGAGGAGCUGCGGUUUAAUUGGACUCAACGCCGGACAUCUCACCAGCAUCGACAACAGUAAUGACGGUCAGGUUGAUGACCUUGCCAGAGUUGUUGAGAGGAGGUGCAUGGCCGCCGUCAGCUCGUACCGUGAGGCGUCCUGUUAAGUCAGGCAACGAGCGAGACCCGCACUCCUAAUUGCCAGCACCGGCUUCGGCCGGGUGGGUACAUUAGGAGGACUGCCGUGGCUAACACGGAGGAAGGAACGGGCAACGGUAGGUCAGUAUGCCCCGAAUGUGCUGGGCUACACGCGGGCUACAAUGGCCGAGACAAUGGGUUCCCACCUCGAAAGAGGGCGGUAAUCUCCUAAACUCGGUCGUAGUUCGGAUUGAGGGUUGAAACUCACCCUCAUGAAGCUGGAUUCGGUAGUAAUCGCGUGUCAGCAGCGCGCGGUGAAUACGUCCCUGCUCCUUCCAC